CCUACGGGGGGCAGCAGUGGGGAAUAUUGGACAAUGGGGGGAACCCUGAUCCAGCCAUGCCGCGUGUGUGAAGAAGGCCCUCGGGUUGUAAAGCACUUUCAGUGAGGAAGAACGCCUGGUGGUUAAUACCCAUCAGGAAAGACAUCACUCACAGAAGAAGCACCGGCUAACUCCGUGCCAGCAGCCGCGGUAAUACGGAGGGUGCGAGCGUUAAUCGGAAUUACUGGGAGUAAAGCGCGCGUAGGUGGCUUGAUAAGCCGGUUGUGAAAGCCCCGGGCUCAACCUGGGAACGGCAUCCGGAACUGUCAAGCUAGAGUGCAGGAGAGGAAGGUAGAAUUCCCGGUGUAGCGGUGAAAUGCGUAGAGAUCGGGAGGAAUACCAGUGGCGAAGGCGGCCUUCUGGACUGACACUGACACUGAGGUGCGAAAGCGUGGGUAGCAAACAGGAUUAGAUACCCUGGUAGUC
rnacentral:rRNA from 1 species